ACCUUGUUGUUAAGCAGUGUGUUAAAAUUACAAAAAGUAGGAUCAUGUCUUGGGUUUUAUAAUAAUGCUAGGAGAUUUCUCAGAAGAAAACUAGCCACAUUGGAACCCGAAGACUAGAAUGAACCUCUUUCUUAAUGUCCAGUGUCUUAAUAUUUGGUGAAAUAUGU